AGGGAGCGCGUGAUGAAGUCUGCAGGCAUUGCUGGGGCAACGCUAAGUGGCCGCUGGCCAGGGUAGAAGUUAAACCAGGAGAUGGCUGUCAAAUGCAGUUGUUAGGUGUGGCACAUCUUUCUCAAGCUGCUGAGCUGAGCAGGAAAGAGAGACGUUUGUUUAUGGAUUUAUCUCAUCUAUAAGACACUCUUAUUAGAUGAACUCUAUAUCAGUUCUAUGUAGAACUCUGUACCAGUUCUAUAAGGCACUCUUUAAUCUGAAUCUUUUUAUUUGCUCAAGAGAAAAAUAAGUCUGACUUGCAUCCCAUUGAAGAUUUAGAUUGCACUGUUUACAUCUUUCACCUGCGCCGCGGUAGCGUCCUCUACCGAUGCUAUCCUACGUUGAUUUUUCCAGCAACCUGGGAAGCAACCUCAUAGGUGGUUUGGGAUGUCUUUUGGCUGUGCUUAAAAAUUUCCAACAGAUUUGCUACACAUCUUAGGAUAAAUAUGUUUCCUGUGAAUUGUGAUGAUUUCUUACAGUACAUUUGCAAGCAUGUGUAUGCAUCUGCAGGAAACAUAGCCUGGCUCUGUGAAGGAAUACUGCUGUGACCGCAAAACUGUUUCUGUAGAAUUUUCUCCGGUGUGGUCAUCCUGCCUUCAGGAGGAAAAUAGAGCAAAAAGGUAGAACUUACUUCCACACCCAAGUUUCUCCUGAAAGCACUGUGCCUGUUUUGUUUGCUACACAUCUUGGGUAUGUAUGUUUGCAUCUAUGCAUGCAGGCAUGCAUGAGUUAUUUAUGUGUGUUAUUUGGUCCAGCCUUGAAGCUCCUUUUAUUUUUCAGUGAAUUGAAAGAAGGUAACCUUUGGAUGUAUAUAUUUUAGUGCUCCAGCAGAUUACCAGUGAAACAUGCCGACUCUCACCAAACCACCCCAUGUUGCCAAAUCUUCUCUCUUGGCCCUGAUGAUGUGCAACUUAAAACCAAGGUCCAGGUUGACUGCACAGCAGAGUUUACUGUUCGCUCUCUCGCUCUCUCUCCUCUCUCUUUUUUUCUGUAAGCCCAAUAAAUCUGCCCUAUCACGUCAUUGAGGCCACAAGGAAAUGUAAUCCUGCCAAGUGUGGGAGUUAACAAAAACUGCCAAAGUCUUAAGGUUGCAGAGAGAGCAAGAACCACUUUCUGGGUUACGCAUGUCUACUGUGUAUGUGCAGGGGUGCCAUGUGUAUGUACCGCGUGUGUGUGUGGGUACUGUGUGUGUGCAUGGAUGCUAUGUGGAUUCACCAUGCACUACCAUGUGUGCAUGAGCACCAUGUGUGUACACUGAGAGUGUAUGUGGCUAGCAGGUGUGUGUACUCUGUGUACCUGAGCACUGUGCGUACCUGUGCACUGAGCCUAUAUAUGGGCAUGUGUUUAUAGCAUGUAUGCAUGUGUGCUAUGUGUAUAUACCAUGCACUUGCACACAUAUACUGUGUGUGCAGCACACCAGAUGCCACAGAUAUGGUGGCGGGAGGGUCAAUGACAGGGAACUGGGGGGAGGCAGGUGUGAGGCAGGCCUGCUUGGGAACAGGUAAAUCACUUAAGGAUGCAGUGCUUUUCAUCUGCUUUGCUGCUCUUUUCCUCUUAAGCAGCAUGCGCUGAGAUUGCAGAAACCUGAAAGAUAGGGAAAGUGUGUAUCCCAUCUCCCCUUCCUGCCUGACUCUCAAGUAAGUUUUCUUUAAGUAUCUUUUUUCUUCAGCUUCAGGAAAAAGAGGACCUUAGAACUGAAGGAGCAAGAUUCCAACAUCACACUGUUUUUGUUAGCUGUGUGUGUGUGUUUCCUGUGUAUCCAAAAGACAGAGGAGAUGAAAAAGCAAAAGAAAAGAAACGAGGAAUCAGAUUGGAAAGAGUAUGAGUUUGUACUUAUGAAAUAAAACUUUUAUCUCUCUACACAGGACCGGGAGUCUGUCCCAAUUUCCUGUCUCUAACCUCACUGGAAGUGCUGACCCACUUCUGGCUAUUUUUAUGUGUUUCUUUGAAAAUGCUUACUGUGAUUGGAGUUGACUUGCCGACUCUGUUCUGCAGCCUCCCCACCACCUGAGUCCCAAAGGGCGGCCCUUCCCACCUCACGCCCAGUAAUUAUGGGUGAGCGCAGAGCCAAAGGAUGGCAGGGCUUUGUUGGUGGUGCGACCAGCGGGUGACCCCUUUCCUCGCAAUCAGAGACUCAGGGACAAGCAGCUUGCACCUGCACGUGGAGCUUUGCACACGGCCUUUUGCCUGAUUUUCCUCUUCGAGGCAUGCCCCCUCCAUGAAAGAUGGGCAUCUUCCCAUGUUCCGGAAUUCUUGGGGGUGCGCUGAUUCCAGGCUCUCGCCCCAGCUUUGGGCCCAGGGCAGUGAGCAUGUGUAGUUACUUAUCUAGGAUUGCAACCUGAGUCAACAGUGAAACCAGGAAGUGAACUCGGGGUCCGGCAUUGUAUGGAAAGUUGGGUGUAUUUACUUUUCUCUUAAAGCAAACUUUGAUUGACUCUUUAAUAAGUUACCAUGGAGGAUAUAGUUCUGGUGAGAUUUGACUUGGCAUCCAAAUCUAAGGCACAUAUUGAUAAUGGAGGAGAGGAACAGGGAGUCUUUUAUGUUUUUCCAGUUUUAUCAUUAACCCCAAGUUCAGAAAUCUGUUUGCUUUUAAAAGUGUCAGUUUCCUCGUUUAGGAAGGUGACAGUUCUCUACUGAUGAUGAGGUUUUUUUUGUUUUUUUUUUGAGAUGGAGUCUCGUUCUGUCACCCAGGCUGGAGUGUAAUGGCACGAUCUUGGCUCACUGCAACCUCUGCCUCCCGGGUUCAAGCGAUUCUCCUGCCUCAGCCUCCCGAGUAGCUGGGAUUACAGGCAUCCACCACCAUGCCUGGCUAAUUUUUUGUAUUUUUAGUAGAGAUGGGGUUUUGCCAUGUUGGCCAGGCUGGCCUUGAACUCCUGACCUCAGGUGAUCCGCCUGCUUCGGCCUCCCAAAGUGUCGGGAUUACAGAUGUGAGCCACCGCGUCCAGCCUGUUGAGAGGUUUCUCCAGGACGUCACCUGUAUGAGGUACACAGUGUGAUGACACACUCUGUGCUUUUCCUACUUGUGUCCACGGCUCAAGCCUGGAAGAAGCCUUAGGACGUGGGGGAAAUGUCUAACGUGGAGUCCACCUGCUGAGCAGGACCGGGUGUGAAGGAAGAAGCUUUGUUCUGAUUCCUCAUGGCCCAGCCACCCCUCGCCUGAGCUGAGCCUGGCCACAGGGCCCGCCUGCAGGAAGGGCUGGCCCAUGGCUUCACACUGGGCUCAGGCUGCGCUAAGAGCCCCGGGUGAGGACCUCCAAGCCCAGGAAGCCUCAGUUGGCCAAAGUGCUAGAUGCGUGUGGUCUGCUUUCAUCCCCGCUUCCCUCAGAGCUUGCAUUUUCCAAAUUCAAGAGAGGCUCCACCUUCAAGAAGACCGGCCUGUCCCUGUUAUUUAUGUGUCCCCCUACCAUAUCUCCCUUUGUUCUGCAGAGCGGUACGCAUAAAAAGCUUUUGGGGA
rnacentral:lncRNA from 1 species